AAUCAACGCUGGCGGCGUGCCUAACACAUGCAAGUCGAACGCGAAAGCCCGCAAGGGUAAGUAGAGUGGCGCACGGGUGAGUAACACGUGGACAACCUGCCUUCGAGUGGGGAAUAACCUUCCGAAGGAGGGCUAAUACCGCAUAACACCUCGGGACACAAGUUCUGGGGUUGGAAAAGAAGCAAUUUGUCUCGAAGAGGGGUCCGGCGCCUGAUUAGCUAGUUGGUGAGGUAACGGCUCACCAAGGCUUCGAUCAGUAGCCGUCCUGAGAGGGAGCACGGCCACACUGGAACUGAGACACGGUCCAGACUCCUACGGGA
rnacentral:rRNA from 1 species